rnacentral:lncRNA from 1 species
GCGCGCCGCCGCAUGGUCGCGAGGAACGAGACCGUCGCCGGCGUCGUCCCCGCGACGACGUCAUCUUCCGGGAAGCCGGGCGUCGCGCCUCCCGUCGAGAUGGACGCGCGGCCCUCGAGAUGGACGCGCGACGACGACGACGACGACGACGACGAGGACGCGCGCGUCGCGUCGACGACGGAGCCGCCGCAGACGCGCGCGCGCGCUCAGAUGCGCUGGCACCCCGCCGCGCGUCGCGUCCCGCACACGCGACAGACGUACAACUGGGACUGCGGCCUCGCGUGCGUCGCCAUGGCGCUCAACUCGAUGGGAGAGGAGAGCACGACCGCGACCGCGACCGUGCGAACAGACGACGACGACGACGAUGUCGACGAUGACUUCGCCUCGGUCGACGCCAUCGCGGCCGCCACGGACCUGCGCGUCCUCCGC